GAUGAACGCUAGCUACAGGCUUAACACAUGCAAGUCGAGGGGCAUCAGGAACAAAGCUUGCUUUGUUUGCUGGCGACCGGCGCACGGGUGAGUAACGCGUAUCCGACCUACCCAUAACUCGGGCACAGCCGCUCGAAAGAGCGAUUGAUUCCCGAUAUGUCCUUGGAGUAGAUUCAAUGAUGAAAGAUUUAUCGGUUAUGGAUGGGGAUGCGUAAGAUUAGGUAGUAGGCGGGGUAACGGCCCACCUAGCCGACGAUCUUUAGGGGUUCUGGGAGGAAGGUCCCCCACACUGGAACUGAGACACGGUCCAGACUCCUACGGGAGGCAGCAGUGAGGAAUAUUGGUCAAUGGGCGCGAGCCUGAACCAGCCAAGUAGCGUGAAGGAUGACUGCCCUACGGGUUGUAAACUUCUUUUGUUUGGGAAUAAAUGAUACUACGUGUAGUAUUUUGCAUGUACCUUACGAUAAGCAUCGGCUAAUUCCGUG
rnacentral:rRNA from 1 species